GAUGAACGCUAGCUACAGGCUUAACACAUGCAAGUCGAGGGGCAGCAUGAACUUAGCUUGCUAAGUUUGAUGGCGACCGGCGCACGGGUGAGUAACACGUAUCCAACCUUCCGUUUACUCAGGGAUAGCCUUUCGAAAGAAAGAUUAAUACCUGAUAGUAUGGUGAGAUUGCAUGAUAACACCAUUAAAGAUUUAUUGGUAAACGAUGGGGAUGCGUUCCAUUAGGUAGUAGGCGGGGUAACGGCCCACCUAGCCUGCGAUGGAUAGGGGUUCUGAGAGGAAGGUCCCCCCANAUUGGAACUGAGACCACGGUCCAAAACUCCUACGGGAGACAGCAGUGAGGAAUAUUGGUCAAUGGGCGAGAGCCUGAACCAGGCAAGUAGCGUGAAGGAUGAAGGUCCUACGGAUUGUAAACUUCUUUUAUACGGGAAUAAAGUUUCCUACGUGUAGGAUUUUGUAUGUACCGUAUGAAUAAGCAUCGGCUAACUCCGUGCCAGCAGCCGCGGU
rnacentral:rRNA from 1 species